rnacentral:rRNA from 1 species
CCGCUGUGGUUGCUUGUUAUAAUACGUCGUGGGAAGAAUGAGGUGGAAACGGAUACAGCCAGCGUAUCUGGCCUGUAUUCAACUGCAUUGUUGUGAGCAGUUGGGCGCUGCAUCUCCAGAUUGCGGACAGUCCUAGCCUUGCAAGCAACAAUGUUGUGCAUUUGCAGGUCGAGUGCGCCGAGACUUUCGAGAAGGCGAUAUGAGCUCAAUUUUGAAGCCAGCUUGCUGGUACCCGGAUUGGAGGAAUGUUGUUCGUUUUGGAUGUGAAUGGGGGAAAGGUUUUCGGACCAGUAGGGAUCAAAGUUGGAGCGGGGGACCAUGAAUUUCGACCUUGGGCAGUGUGCAAAACCCCCCCGCGAUGGUGACCUAUACCCUGAAUACCGCGAAACCAGUAGGAAAUCCUCGCCCAAGCUCGUAACGAUACUGACCGAGCAAAUCGUUCGUCAGACUUGUUGCAUACGCUGCGAAAGACUAAUCGAACCAUCUAGAUAGCUGGUUCCUUCCGAACUACGACGGAGGCUCGUAGCAAUCACGAUUUGCUGGACCAACGUGGCCCCUUUCUGUACGGUUGAAACAGUAUUCAAAAAAACCAUACCCUGGUUCCCCCCAAAGAUGGUGAACUCUUCCUAACCGGGAUGAACCCAGAGGAAACUCUGGUGGAAGUCCAAAGCGAUUCUGACGUGCAAAUCCAUCUCCCAACUUGGGUAUAUGGCACAAAACACUAAUCCGAACCUUCCAUAAACUGGUUCCCUUCCAAAAGAGCGAGAGU